rnacentral:tRNA from 1 species
GAUGACCGAUUAUWUGUAAUGGAUUUAASCCCCAUUUAUAAAGGCUUAUCCUUUUUUUAGAA